rnacentral:lncRNA from 1 species
GGGGAAGAUGAGAAGCGAUGUUGGCCAGCUUUCUAAAGUUGAGUCUAGAAGGCAAGAGGAAGAUAGCUGAACAGAGAGAAAUAACAGCUGCCCAAGUAUGGGACUCACCGGAAAGCUUCUUCAUAAAGUGACGAAUUGGAAGAAGACCCUGGGCACCAGAUAGGAGCUGAGACUUCCAGGAAUAAAUCCUAUUACAGCCUGGGGGUAAGUCCCUUGAAAGCAGAAGGGAAUCAAUAACAAUCUUACUUAUUUUUAUUGUUAAUCUUGGGUAUCACGUUGAUUAUAUGUGAAGUCGACUGAGAGACUCUGAGGGUUGGAGGGCUCCUAAGGGUAUUUCCUGAAAGGACAGGUGGAAGGGGACGAGCUCUCCUUUAGAGUGGGGGCAUCUUUGGUAGCUCCGAUAAAGACAAUCCAAGUGGAAAAGUUUCGAUAUUUGCCUGCUGGGUUUCUUUCUUUUUUUAAUUGAAAAUAUUUUGUUUCAUAUAAUAUAUUCUGAUUACUGUUUCUCCUCCCUCAUCUCCUUCCAGAUCCUGUCUUCAUUUCCACUCCUCAAAUUCCAAAAACAGAGUCAUGGAGAGAGGAGACCAAUGAGGAGAGUAAAGGACAAUUAUUAGUCUUAACUUCCAAUGAAGCAAGUAGGUCAGUUGCCAGCUGCCGUGUGAGUCUGCUCACCCAGAAGCCUGCUCAAUGUGGCAGUACAAGAAAAGAGAAGAGGCCAUGUCUGAGACACACAUUGUGAAACCUGCACUGGUGAUGGGACCCUCUAAUUUGGUCAGACGGUAUGGCAACAUAAGUCAGUCCAGCUUUUGGCUGACACAAACAAGGAGUUACGCUCAAGUGCGCUGGAGCGUUCCCAUGAGCUGCCUGUUUUUGGUUUUAAUAAGGCUCCAUCUCUCGAGGUGUAUUAACGGUAAAUCAUUUUUGCUAAUUUAAAAACUAGGAAACAAAUGGAAACCUUGAGGUUUUUCCCCACAACAUGGCUACUUCUAAUAUCAAGAUUGCCAGAGAGGUUUAGGGGAUGGGACCAUGGCUGUGAGAAGGAAUCGAAAAAGUGUUUUGAGGUGGGGAAGUAUUUUAAUAAGUGGAUUAAUCUCUGUGGUUGCACAGCCGAAGAAACCGGGCCAGUGACUUCAAGGUAGAAGUCCUCAGAAACUUCCUAGUCAAGUCUCUCUUUAAAACAGAAGAAGAAAGCGAGGCUAUGAGAUAACAUGGGCACCUGCCUAAAAAGUAUGCCUACUGCAUACUACAUGGGAGGUUGCUGACUGUUCCCAAGGGGUACUUGAAUUGUCUGCAUGUAUUUCAUGUUUGUUUGUUUUGCUGGUAGGAGUACUAAAAAGUUAUAGAGGCUCUUGGCGGAGGGGGGGGGUGUCUUCUCCUCUUGUAAUGUUGGCCAUAAUAUUCUGUUCUCUAACCAAAAUUGCUUUAUAUGACUUCCCUUCCUUUCCAUCAACUUUACACAGCUUAUUUACAGGGCCAAUCGCAGCCCAACAUAAUUUUAUCUAAUGUCUCCCUUCAAACUAGAGAAGCUA